rnacentral:rRNA from 1 species
GACGAACGCUGGCGGCGUGCUUAACACAUGCAAGUCGAACGGAACACCCUUGACAGAGGUUUCGGCCAAUGAAGAGGGCUGUUUAGUGGCGGACUGGUGAAGUAACGCGUGAGGAACCUGCCUUUCAGAGGGGGACAACAGUUGGAAACGACUGCUAAUACCGCAUAAGCUGAGCAAUCAGUAAAGGAGGCCUCUGAAAAUGCUUCCGCUUAUGGAUGGGCCCGCGUCUGAUUAGCUGGUUGGUGGGGUAAAGGCCUACCAAGGCGACGAUCAGUAGCCGGCCUGAGAGGGUGAACGGCCACACUGGGACUGAGACACGGCCCAGACUCCUACGGGAGGCAGCAGUGGGGAAUAUUGCGCAAUGGGGGAAACCCUGACGCAGCGACGCCGCGUGAGCGAAGAAGGCCUUAGGGUCGUAAAGCUCUGUUUUAAGGGACGAAUGUCGCGGGUAAUAAUACGAUCUGCGAAUGACGGUACCUUAAGAGGAAGCCCCGGCUAACUACGUGCCAGCAGCCC